rnacentral:rRNA from 1 species
CAGUCGCCGCGGUAAUACGUAGGUCCCGAGCGUUGUCCGGAUUUAUUGGGCGUAAAGGGUACGUAGGCGGAUUCUUAAGUCAGGGGUGAAAUCCCGAGGCUCAACCUCGGAACUGCCUUUGAUACUGGGGAUCUUGAGUCCGGAAGAGGUGAGUGGAACUGCGAGUGUAGAGGUGAAAUUCGUAGAUAUUCGCAAGAACACCGGUGGCGAAGGCGGCUCACUGGUCCGGAACUGACGCUGAGGCACGACAGCGUGGGGAGCGAACAGGAUUAGAUACCCCCGUAGUCCCUGUCUCUUAUAC